UGGGGAAUAUUGGACAAUGGGGGAAACCCUGAUCCAGCGACGCCGCGUGAGUGAAGAAGUAUUUCGGUAUGUAAAGCUCUAUCAGCAGGGAAGAAAAAAGACGGUACCUGACUAAGAAGCCCCGGCUAACUACGUGCCAGCAGCCGCGGUAAUACGUAGGGGGCAAGCGUUAUCCGGAUUUACUGGGUGUAAAGGGAGCGUAGACGGCAAAGCAAGUCUGAAGUGAAAGGUCGGGGCUUAACCCCGGAACUGCUUUGGAAACUGUUAUGCUAGAGUGCUGGAGAGGUAAGUGGAAUUCCUAGUGUAGCGGUGAAAUGCGUAGAUAUUAGGAGGAACACCAGUGGCGAAGGCGGCUUACUGGACAGUAACUGACGUUGAGGCUCGAAAGCGUGGGGAGCAAACAGG
rnacentral:rRNA from 1 species